rnacentral:rRNA from 1 species
AUGGGUCUAAACUUUUUUUUUCAGGGAGGAUAAACGAGUGUACCUGAAGAUAAGCAUCGGCUAAUCCGUGCCAGCAGCCGCGGUAAGAGGAGGAUGCAAGUGUUAUUCCGGAAUCACUUGGGCGUAAAGCAUUGUAGGUCGUUAAUAAGUCAACUGUUAAUUUUUGAGGCUUCAACCUUCAAACUUUGCAGUCGAAAACUAUUUAAAUUAAAUAUAGUAGGGGUAAAAGGGAAUUUUCCAGUUGGAGCGGUGAAAUUGCGUAGAUAUUUGGAAAGAACACCGAUUGGCGAAGGCACUUUUACUUGGGCUACUACUGACACUCAGAGACGAAAGCUAGGGUAGCAAAUGGGAUUUAGAUACCCCAGUAGUCCUAGCCGUAAACAAUGGAUA